AAAAUAAGAAUAUGCAUCAGUUGUACAUAGAAAUAGUCAUUUGCACUAAAUACUACUGAAGCAGAAGAGCAGUUUUAAAUAUAUUAAAAACUCACAAAAUAUAUUGAUUAAGGCACUGUGUCUUGUCUCGUGUUUUCAAUAAACAUGCUGUUUUUAAGGCAGUAGGACCUCUGAUUACAUGAAUAUAGGCACUAUUACUAUUAAAGACAGUCAUACUUUGCUGUGGCCAUUGUGAUCUAUUUCUCAAAAGAAGUUUCAUUAGCUUGGAUUAGCAUUUUCUUUAAAAAAAAAACUGAAUAUGAAAAACAUAGUUUUCUCUUUCCAGAGUCUCUUCCAGAGAGACCUAUUUACAAAAGGUACUAUUUUUUCAUAUAUCCCUAAGCAACACGGAAUUACACAUAAGGGGCCAGACUGCCUCCCAGAGAGUAAAGCCAUCAGAGGUUGGAUGUAUGCCAGUUUGGCACUUCAGUUACAGUGCUGUCAUCAAGCCAGUGCUUGUGCAUCAU
rnacentral:lncRNA from 1 species